UGAGGAAUAUUGGUCAAUGGACGGAAGUCUGAACCAGCCAUGCCGCGUGCAGGAUGAAUGUGCUAUGCAUUGUAAACUGCUUUUGUACGAGGGUAAACACAGAUACGCGUAUCUGCUUGAAAGUAUCGUACGAAUAAGGAUCGGCUAACUCCGUGCCAGCAGCCGCGGUAAUACGGAGGAUCCGAGCGUUAUCCGGAUUUAUUGGGUUUAAAGGGUGCGUAGGCUGUUUUUUAAGUUAGAGGUGAAAGCUCGACGCUCAACGUCGAAAUUGCCUCUGAUACUGAGAGACUAGAGUGUAGUUGCGGAAGGCGGAAUGUGUGGUGUAGCGGUGAAAUGCUUAGAUAUCACACAGAACACCGAUUGCGAAGGCAGCUUUCCAAGCUAUUACUGACGCUGAGGCACGAAAGCGUGGGGAGCGAACAGGAUUAGAUACCCUGGUAGUCCACGCAGUAAACGAUGAUAACUCGUUGCCGGCGAUACACAGUCGGUGACUUAGCGAAAGCGUUAAGUUAUCCACCUGGGGAGUACGUUCGCAAGAAUGAAACUCAAAGGAAUUGACGGGGGCCCGCACAAGCGGAGGAACAUGUGGUUUAAUUCGAUGAUACGCGAGGAACCUUACCCGGGCUUGAAAGUUAGCGACGGACCGAGAAAUCGGUCUUCCCUUCGGGGCGCGAAACUAGGUGCUGCAUGGUUGUCGUCAGCUCGUGCCGUGAGGUGUCGGGUUAAGUCCCAUAACGAGCGCAACCCCUACCGUUAGUUGCCAUCAGGUCAAGCUGGGCACUCUAGCGGGACUGCCGGUGUAAGCCGAGAGGAAGGUGGGGAUGACGUCAAAUCAGCACGGCCCUUACGUCCGGGGCGACACACGUGUUACAAUGGCCGGUACAGAGGGUAGCUACCUGGUGACAGGAUGCCAAUCUCGAAAGCCGGUCUCAGUUCGGAUUGGAGGCUGAAAUUCGCCUUCAUGAAGCUGGAAUUGCUAGUAAUGGCAGGUCAGCAUACUGCCGUGAAUACGUUCCC
rnacentral:rRNA from 1 species